UACAGAGGUCCCAAGCGUUGUUCGGAUUCAUUGGGCGUAAAGGGUGCGUAGGCGGCGCGGUAAGUCGGGUGUGAAAUCUCGGAGCUUAACUCCGAAACUGCAUUCGAUACUGCCGUGCUUGAGGACUGGAGAGGAGACUGGAAUUUACGGUGUAGCGGUGAAAUGCGUAGAUAUCGUAAGGAAGACCAGUGGCGAAGGCGGGUCUCUGGACAGUUCCUGACGCUGAGGCACGAAGGCCAGGGGAGCAAGCGGG
rnacentral:rRNA from 1 species